CAUUGGGAUCUAGGCAAUGCAUCACAUUAAACACAUGGACUGGACGAGGUUGGACUGUUUGAUGAAGUGAAAGAACGUUAUCGUGGAAGUCAUAUUUGUUGUCGCUUAACAAUUUAUGAAGUGGAAUUUAUUAUGAAAUAAUUAUAGGAAUAUUUCUUAUUGUUUGGAAUGAUUGAUUUAUUAUUGUAUUGAGUAUGAUA